UUAUUUAGCGGCGGACGGGUGAGUAACGUGUGGGUAACCUGCCUUUUACUGUGGAAUAAUCGUUGGAAACGACGACUAAUACCGCAUACGAUUUUCUGAAGGCAUCUUUGGGAAAAGAAAGGAAAUAUUCGGUAAAAGAUGGGCCCGCAUCUGAUUAGCUAGUUGGUGAGAUAAUAGCCCACCAAGGCAACGAUCAGUAGCCGACCUGAGAGGGUGACCGGCCACAUUGGGACUGAGACACGGCCCAAACUCCUACGGGAGGCAGCAG
rnacentral:rRNA from 1 species